rnacentral:rRNA from 1 species
UCGUCACACUAUCAUUAACUGAAUCCAUAGGUUAAUGAGGCGAACCGGGGGAACUGAAACAUCUAAGUACCCCGAGGAAAAGAAAUCAACCGAGAUUCCCCCAGUAGCGGCGAGCGAACGGGGAGGAGCCCAGAGCCUGAAUCAGCAUGUGUGUUAGUGGAAGCGUCUGGAAAGGCGCGCGAUACAGGGUGACAGCCCCGUACACAAAAGCGCAUGUGCUGUGAGCUCGAUGAGUAGGGCGGGACACGUGGUAUCCUGUCUGAAUAUGGGGGGACCAUCCUCCAAGGCUAAAUACUCCUGACUGACCGAUAGUGAACCAGUACCGUGAGGGAAAGGCGAAAAGAACCCCGGCGAGGGGAGUGAAAAAGAACCUGAAACCGUGUACGUACAAGCAGUGGGAGCACCCUUUGGGUGUGACUGCGUACCUUUUGUAUAAUGGGUCAGCGACUUAUAUUCUGUAGCAAGGUUAACCGAAUAGGGGAGCCGGAGGGAAACCGAGUCUUAACCGGGCGUUAAGUUGCAGGGUAUAGACCCGAAACCCGGUGAUCUAGCCAUGGGCAGGUUGAAGGUUGGGUAACACUAACUGGAGGACCGAACCGACUAAUGUUGAAAAAUUAGCGGAUGACCUGUGGCUGGGGGUGAAAGGCCAAUCAAACCGGGAGAUAGCUGGUUCUCCCCGAAAGCUAUUUAGGUAGCGCCUCGUGAAUUCAUCUCCGGGGGUAGAGCACUGUUUCGGCUAGGGGGCCAUCCCGGCUUACCAACCCGAUGCAAACUGCGAAUACCGGAGAAUGUUAUCACGGGAGACACACGGCGGGUGCUAACGUCCGUCGUGAAGAGGGAAACAACCCAGACCGCCAGCUAAGGUCCCAAAGUCAUGGUUAAGUGGGAAACGAUGUGGGAAGGCCCAGACAGCCAGGAUGUUGGCUUAGAAGCAGCCAUCAUUUAAAGAAAGCGUAAUAGCUCACUGGUCGAGUCGGCCUGCGCGGAAGAUGUAACGGGGCUAAACCAUGCA